GAUGAACGCUGGCGGCGUGCCUAGUACAUGCAAGUCGAGCGAACAGACGAGGAGCUUGCUCCUCUGACGUUAGCGGCGGACGGGUGAGUAACACGUGGAUAACCUACCUAUAAGACUGGGAUAACUUCGGGAAACCGGAGCUAAUACCGGAUAAUAUAUUGAACCGCAUGGUUCAAUAGUGAAAGACGGUUUUGCUGUCACUUAUAGAUGGAUCCGCGCCGCAUUAGCUAGUUGGUAAGGUAACGGCUUACCAAGGCAACGAUGCGUAGCCGACCUGAGAGGGUGAUCGGCCACACUGGAACUGAGACACGGUCCCGACUCCUACGGGAGGCAGCAGUAGGGAAUCUUCCGCAAUGGGCGAAAGCCUGACGGAGCAACGCCGCGUGAGUGAUGAAGGUCUUCGGAUCGUAAAACUCUGUUAUUAGGGAAGAACAAAUGUGUAAGUAACUAUGCACGUCUUGACGGUACCUAAUCAGAAAGCCACGGCUAACUACGUG
rnacentral:rRNA from 1 species